rnacentral:rRNA from 1 species
UACGGGGGGGGCAAGCGUUGUUCGGAAUUACUGGGCGUAAAGGGCUCGUAGGCGGCCAACUAAGUCCGACGUGAAAUCCCCAGGCUUAACCUGGGAACUGCGUCAGAUACUGGAUGGCUUGAAUCCGGGAGAGGGAUGCGGAAUUCCUGGUGUAGCGGUGAAAUGCGCAGAUAUCAGGAGGAACACCGGUGGCGAAGGCGGUGGUCUGGGCCGGCACUGACGCCUGAGGAGCGAAAGCGUGGGAGCGA